GUCCAAAUGAGUGUUGGCGGUCUGGUGUGUGGGCUUCAAUCCCGUAGUUGGUGAUAGUCAGAGUGGUUCGAUGUCGCCUUCUGGGCG
rnacentral:tRNA from 1 species